ACUCCUACGGGAGGCAGCAGUGGGGAAUAUUGGACAAUGGGCGCAAGCCUGAUCCAGCCAUGCCGCGUGAGUGAUGAAGGCCCUAGGGUUGUAAAGCUCUUUCACCGGUGAAGAUAAUGACGGUAACCGGAGAAGAAGCCCCGGCUAACUUCGUGCCAGCAGCCGCGGUAAUACGAAGGGGGCUAGCGUUGUUCGGAUUUACUGGGCGUAAAGCGCACGUAGGCGGACUAUUAAGUCAGGGGUGAAAUCCCGGGGCUCAACCCCGGAACUGCCUUUGAUACUGGUAGUCUUGAGUUCGAGAGAGGUGAGUGGAAUUCCGAGUGUAGAGGUGAAAUUCGUAGAUAUUCGGAGGAACACCAGUGGCGAAGGCGACUCACUGGCUCGAUACUGACGCUGAGGUGCGAAAGCGUGGGGAGCAAACAGGAUUAGAAACCCCUGUAGUCCCAUGA
rnacentral:rRNA from 1 species